AUUGAACGCCGGCGGCAGGCCUAACACAUGCAAGUCGAGCGGCAGCGGGAAAGUAGCUUGCUACUUUUGCCGGCGAGCGGCGGACGGGUGAGUAAUGCCUGGGGAUCUGCCCAGUCGAGGGGGAUAACUACUGGAAACGGUAGCUAAUACCGCAUACGCCCUACGGGGGAAAGCAGGGGACCUUCGGGCCUUGCGCGAUUGGAUGAACACAGGUGGGAUUAGCUAGUUGGUGAGGUAACGGCUCACCAAGGCGACGAUCCCUAGCUGGUCUGAGAGGAUGAUCAGCCACACUGGAACUGAGACACGGUCCAGACUCCUACGGGAGGCAGCAGUGGGGAAUAUUGCACAAUGGGGGAAACCCUGAUGCAGCCAUGCCGCGUGUGUGAAGAAGGCCUUCGGGUUGUAAAGCACUUUCAGCGAGGAGGAAAGGUCAGUAGCUAAUAUCUGCUGGCUGUGACGUUACUCGCAGAAGAAGCACCGGCUAACUCCGUGCCAGCCGCCGCGGUAA
rnacentral:rRNA from 1 species